UUGACUCAAAUAUUUUGUUAACAUUUAUUAAAGAAUUAGGAAAAGUUUCUUCAGUUUUUAUGUUAUAAAGUUCUUUUAUUCAAUAUCAUUUAUUCCUCAAAUGAAUUUGGAUCUAAAUAGUACUGCAAACACCCUCAUUUUUGGCAAAUAAUUUUUACUCUUUGCUUCGUCAUAUCUUCAACAAUAAAAUACUUAGAUUUUUUUAACAUUUUUCUUAUAGUCUAGGGCAUCGCCCACUGAUGUAGUGCCACGGCGGUGCGCGACUUUCCGGACAUCUGUAUAUCACUCUUUAUGAAUUGGGAGAGAUUUUUGGGACAGCCUAUUUACAAAGCGCUACUUCACCGAACGCUUUUAAAAAAAAACUGGAAUUACUAAUGGAGAUAUUGACGUAUUUACAGAAAUCGAUUUUGCUCCGUCUCAAGUACUUAAGUAACGGACAGAGAACUUGCGGUGCAAGAAUACGACAACCUUAAGCAACACGCUGAUCAACAAGAUGCUGAACAUCAACAGCAUGCUGAUCAAUAUCGGUUGUAUCAAAAAGGGCGGAUAAACUUUUUAGCACCUGUUAAGUACUGUUCAUAGACCCCGAAAAAAUAUUGAAAAAAUUGGUAUUAUUUUUUUAAUGGUAUAUGGCCUUUUUAACAGUUACAGAAAAACAACUUGAAACUAAAAAUUCCUUUGUUAAAUCCAUGGCCUCCUUGAUGUAUGGAGACAACUUCGUUGUUCAGGCCUGGCGCAUCGAUAAGUUCGGCUGAUUCUCCACUGGCGCUGCAUUUAGCGGACUGACGUUUAUUUGACAAAUACCAUUUUUGAGGUUAAAGACUAAUAAAUUUGAAAGAUGUAAGUGUGCAUUCGUGAAAUACGUUGAAAAUGUGAGGAUAAUUCUAAAGUUAUGCCCUGAAUGAACGUUUGGAUAGUGUAACUUUUGCAGGAAAUCAUUUUACGAUCAUUAGGAUUUUUUAUUUUCAGCUUCAGAAGAUAUACAAAUUAUUUUAAGGUGAAUUGAUUGUUCAUCGUUUAUAAGUAUUUUAAGCAUAACCUACGGCACUAGUACGCAGACACAGAUGCAGAGAAAACGAUGUUUCAAAGAACCUUCCAUUUAUUAUGCAUACUCUAUGGUUUUACCAAUGGUUAAGGUUGAAUGCGUUACAAAUCUGUGAUUUUUAAGACAUGGCUUAAGUUUUCUGAAAGUUUUAGUAAAAUGUGCAAAGAAAGUCGUUUUUUUCAAAUGAAAUGGUUUAAAAAAGCUCGAUCCAGCGUUCUUCUGCUGCGUUACUCUCUGCUGGAGUCUCUGAACCGUCCGUUCCAAAGUCCCUGUCUGGACCUUUGCUCACUCUCAAGCACCGCUCGUGGAUCACCAAACUCCCGAAAAAAAUCUACUACUUUAUAAAUUUUUUUGAGUUUUUGUAUUUAGAAAUUAUCAAUUACAUUGUGGGCUCUUUUUCACCUUCUCUUCUGCUGAUUGUACUUGUUAAAUUCAAUUAUUUUUUCGGAUUUAACCUUACAAAUGCUAUUUGUCAGAUAAACGUCAGUGCGCUAAAUAGGGCGCCAUCUACGGUUUCGAAAAAACCGUUGAAGCUUAUCGAUGCGCCAGGCCUGAACAACGAAGUUGUCUCCAUACAUCAAGGAGGCCAUGGUUAAAUCACUUACGUAUGGUAUUAGUUAUAUGGUUUACAUUGUCAUAAAAACAUUUUAUUGAAAAUUUGUGUUCUAUCUAAAGGAAUAGUUUGAAAAACCAACUUUUGUCCACUAACUUUAACUUGAUUAAAGAAUCACUAACUUUAACUUGAUUAAAAAAUCAAGUUAAAGUUAGUGGACAAAAGUGCUUCAAAUAUGCAGUAGCAUAUGACAACAUUGUAAUAUUUCUAUGGAAACAACUUUGAACGUAUUUUUUGGCAAAGUGUCAAACAAAUGUGUCAAACUUUUUGAUGAUUUUAAAUCAUUUAUUGUGAAACAAUAAUGUUUUCGGCAAGUGAAUACUGCGACAUGUUCUUGGUUUAUGGUGCAAGUGAAGGAAAUGCUUUAGAUGCGGUGAGACAAUAUGGCAUUAAUGUUUUUCGACGACUCGAUCAGAGACUUCGAGAAAAUCGCACUCCGAUUUCGAAAAAAAAAAUUCGUUUAAAAAAAAUCAAAUUCGGUUGCAAUGUUAUAAAUUACGAGAACAAAUACUUUCAAAUGUGUUGCCAACAGACUCAGUAUUUCUGGAUCAGUCUGUAUAAAGAAAUACAUUCUGGAAGGCCUUGCGUAAGAAGAACUGUUGAGACAGAGGAAGCAACUAUUGAUGCGGUUGCCGCCGUUUAGGUCUCCAGACUCCCGUUAAUUUUUUUAUGGGGCCAUAUCAAAGACAUUGUAUUUACUCCACCAGUGCCGAAAAAUCUAGCCACUUUACAAGAAAGAGUUUUUGUAGCCUUUAACUCAGUUUCUCCGGACAUGUUAGAACGUACCACAAAUUCUGUUCAAAGACGUGCCGAAGCCUGCUUAUUAGCAAAUGGCAGAACAUUUCAACAUUUAUUAUAAAAUACAUUGUUUGUUUUUAAUUUUACUGUUUAUUAAAUUGCUUUGUUCCUAAAUUAGUUUUCCUUAGAGUUCCUAUAUUGGAUUAAAGCUAAUUUCGACUAUUGCUAUUGAGGUAACAUAGCACAAUGUUGCCGGUUUGGUCAUUACUUUUUAAAGUAAUCUAAAGACACGAUCUCUGCAUAAAAAAAAUGAUCUCUGAACUACUCUCCAGCUAUGCUUAAAAGUUUAUGCGACUUUUUUGACACACCCGAUAUAAUGAUGCUGAACAAAUCAAUAAUAAUGAAAGAAAAAAACCUAAUGUUGAUAUAGACCGUCACAGGACUCCUUCACCCCGCUCUACUUCUUUACCAUGUUGUUUUAAAUCUUUGCUACCAGAUGCUGUACCAACAUACUAUGAAGUUUUUACACCUAUCCAAGCAAUCAAACCUUUACCCAAGCCUUUACCAAAAAUUGAACCAAAAACUACAAUAAGAAAACGCAGGACUCAAAAGUCCGAAAUACUAACUUCUACUCCAGUAAAAGACGAACUACGAAAUGAAGCAGUAGAAGGAAAACUAAAAACAAGAAAAAAAUUGACGAAAUAACAGUCAACCAAAGGGGAAAAUAAAAAAAACUGUCAAAUCAAACUCUCUAAACGAGCCCAAUGAAGCAGACGUUCCCUCUUUGAUUUGCGACGACACCUAUGCAGUUCUAAAUCCGGUGAUUCCUGGAUUCAGUACAAUCACUGCCAACAAUGGGCACAUCAGUUGUGUGCAGACUAUCAUACUGGGGUAUAUAUUUGUAAUAACUGCAAACCGGUUGUGCUAAAGAGACUAAAAUAAGUUUUUUUUUGUGAAUUUUGUACUAAAUACA